rnacentral:rRNA from 1 species
AUUGAACGCUGGCGGCAGGCCUAACACAUGCAAGUCGAGCGAGCGGCGGACGGGUGAGUAAUGUCUGGGAAACUUCCUGAUGUAGGGGGAUAACUACUGGAAACGGUAGCUAAUACCGCAUACCAUCAGAUGUGCCCAGAUGGGAUUGGCUAGUAGGUGGGGUAACGGCUCACCUAGGCGACGAUCCCUAGCUGGUCUGAGAGGAUGACCAGCCACACUGGAACUGAGACACGGUCCAGACUCCUACGGGAGGCAGCAGUGGGGAAGAGUGCACAAUGGGCGCAAGCCUGAUGCAGGCAUGCCGCGUGUGUGAAGAGGGCCUUAGGGUUGUAAAGCACUUUCAGCGGGGGGGCGUUACCCGCAGAAGAAGCACCGGCUAACUCCGUGCCAGCAGCCGCGGUAAUAC